rnacentral:rRNA from 1 species
GUCUACGGCCAUACCACCCUGAACGCGCCCGAUCUCCUCUGAUCUCGGAAGCUAAGCAGGGUCGGGCCUGGUUAGUACUUGGAUGGGAGAAAGAAGUAUUCAUUUCUA